GAUCCAAAAAGACCGCAUUCCGGUCUUUCGUAAAACGCUCGUUUAGACGACGCAGCGCACUCCGUCGAAAUUGCGUCGAAAUCGGCGGGCUUUUCGCUCUCCGAACCGAAUUGCUUGUGGAGGUAUCAAAAUAACGGUUUGGUACUUGCUACGCGCAAAUUCCAUGAAUUCUUGACAAUAAUCCUGGCGACACUGCGUCCACCCUACCAUCACCAUGUCUGCGUGGUUUUCAAAGGUAAAUCAAGUAAUGCAUUUGAUGAAUAUGAAAUAAAGAGGGAAGAAGAGAAGAAAACAUUCCCUCAAGACCUUUCAAGGCUUCGGAUACAAAUCUAUUGAAGGGUCAUUUUUUCCUGUGGAAUCGUUGUAAAUUGUUUGUGGUUGGGAGCCAUUGAUGAUCUGUUGAGGAGGUGUCAGAUACGGAAUAAGAAAACUGGACCCAUUUAAAUCAGUAAGAUGGAUGUUUCAUAUUCACAGCCUUACUGACCAUGCCAGCGGUUAACGGAUACGUUCUUCUGAGACUCAUGCUGGAGCAAAUGCAGAGACAUCGUAAACGCCGUAAUCACCUGCGUCAUACUCAGCAAAGACAUCUCUCUUCCAGAAUGUCUCAAUUGUACAUGAUAAAUGAAAUGCAGACAGCAGUGGCAUUCUUAGGACAUCUGAACCUGCAGCUCUGCAUAUCAGUAGCAACUGUUGAAAGGUUUGUAUUAAGGGUCAUACUCAUAGGCCUGUCUAGCUAGGUAAGCCGAAUGAGAUGAGCGACUGCGAUUGACAUUCA